CUCAAACUCCUGACCUCAUGAUCCGCCUGCCUCGGCCUCCCAAAGUGCUGGGAUCAGACGUUUAUCCAGAUAAACAGAACCACAAGAUAUGAUAGACUGAGGAAAUUGUUACAAUGGUGACAUAAAUGGAGUAUGGUGGAAAAAAACAUGCAUUCUGACUGAGGCUAAAGGUUCCUUUGGCCUCUGGAACUUUCCUGGAGACAGCUUCUGC